AACGAACGCUGGCGGCAGGCUUAACACAUGCAAGUCGAGCGCCCCGCAAGGGGAGCGGCGCACGGGAGAAUAACGCGUGGGAACCUACCUUUUAGUUCGGAACAACACCGGGAAACUGGUGCUAAUACCGGAUACGUCCUUCGGGAGAAAGAUUUAUCUCUAAAAGAUGGGCCCGCGUUGGAUUAGCUAGUUGGGGAGGUAAUGGCUCACCAAGACGACGAUCCAUAGCUGGUCUAAGAGGAUGAUCAGCCUCACUGGGACUCAGACACGGCCCAUACUCCUACGUGAGGCAACAGUGGGGAAUAUUGGACAAUUGGGGCAACCCUGAUCCAGCCUUGCCGCGUGGAUGUUAAGGCCUUCGGGUUGUAAAGUCCUUUUGGCGGGGGCGAUGAUGACGGUACCCGCAGAAUAAGAGCCGGCAAUCUUCGUGCCAGCAGCCGCCGUAA
rnacentral:rRNA from 1 species